ACAUGCCUACAACAUAGCAUUAAUGCACCGGAUCCCAUUAGAACUCCACAGUUAAGCGCAUUCAGGCUAGAUUAGUACUAGGAUGGGUGACAGCUCAGGAAGUCCUAGUGUUUUACAUGCC
rnacentral:rRNA from 1 species